rnacentral:rRNA from 1 species
UACAUGUGGGGCAAGCGUUGUUCGGAAUUACUGGGCAUAAAGGGUGCGUAGGUGGUUUGUUAAGUCACUGGUGAAAGUUUGCGGCCCAACCGUAAAAAUUGCCUGUGAUACUGGCGAACUUGAGUGCGUGAGGGAUGGGGGGGAACGAGCAGUGUAGCGGUGAAAUGCGUAGAUAUUGCUCGGAAGGCCGGAGCCGAAGGGGCCCCCAUUGGUACGUAACUGACGCUGAGGCACGAAAGCGUGGGGGAGCAAACAGG